GCAAGUCGAACGGAAACAUGUCUAGCUUGCUAGACGAUGUCGAGUGGCGGACGGGUGAGUAAUGCUUGGGAACUUGCCUUUGCGAGGGGGAUAACAGUUGGAAACGACUGCUAAUACCGCAUAAUGUCUUCGGACCAAACGGGGCUUCGGCUCCGGCGCAAAGAGAGGCCCAAGUGAGAUUAGCUAGUUGGUGAGGUAAAGGCUCACCAAGGCAACGAUCUCUAGCUGUUCUGAGAGGGAGAUCAGCCACACUGGGACUGAGACACGGCCCAGACUCCUACGGGAGGCAGCAGUGGGGAAUAUUGCACAAUGGGGGAAACCCUGAUGCAGCCAUGCCGCGUGUGUGAAGAAGGCCUUCGGGUUGUAAAGCACUUUCAGUUGUGAGGAAAAGUUAGUAGUUAAUACCUGCUAGCCGUGACGUUAACAACAGAAGAAGCACCGGCUAACUCCGUGCCAGCAGCCGCGGUAAUACGGAGGGUGCGAGCGUUAAUCGGAAUUACUGGGCGUAAAGCGCACGCAGGCGGUUUGUUAAGCUAGAUGUGAAAGUCCCGGGCUCAACCUGGGACGGUCAUUUAGAACUGGCAGACUAGAGUCUUGGAGAGGGGAGUGGAAUUCCAGGUGUAGCGGUGAAAUGCGUAGAUAUCUGGAGGAACAUCAGUGGCGAAGGCGACUCCCUGGCCAAAAACUGACGCUCAUGUGCGAAAGUGUGGGUAGCGAACAGGAUUAGAUACCCUGGUAGUCCACACCGUAAACGCUGUCUACUAGCUGUUUG
rnacentral:rRNA from 1 species